AUUGAACGCUGGCGGCAGGCCUAACACAUGCAAGUCGAACGAGUGGCGGACGGGUGAGUAAUGUCUGGGAAACUGCCUGAUGGAGGGGGAUAACUACUGGAAACGGUAGCUAAUACAGCAUACCAUCAGCUGUGCCCAGAUGGGAUUCGCUAGUUGGUGGGGUAACGGCUCACCAAGGCGACGAUCCCUAGCUGGGCGGAGAGGAUGACCAGCCACACUGGAACUGAACCACGCACCAGAAACCUACGGGAGGCAGCAGUAGGGAAUAAUGCACAAUGGCCGCAAGCCGGAUGCAGCCAGGCCGGGUGUAUGAAGAAGGCUUUCGGGUUGUAAAGUACUUUCAGCGAGGAGGCGUUACCCGCAGAAGAAGCACCUGCUAACUCCGUGCCAGCAGCCGCGGUAAUUC
rnacentral:rRNA from 1 species